UCAGAAUCAACGCUGGCGGCGGUGGCCUAACACAUGCAAGUCGAACGCGAAAGGGGAGCAAUCCCUGAGUAGAGUGGCAAACGGGUGAGUAACACGUGGGUGACCUGCCUUCGAGUGGGGGAUAACGUUCCGAAAGGAACGCUAAUACCGCAUGACAUCCUGCUUUUGGAGAAGCGGAGAUCAAAGCUGGGGAUUCGCAAGAACCUAGCGCUUGAAGAGGGGCCCGCGCCUGAUUAGCUAGUUGGUGGGGUAACGGCUCACCAAGGCUUCGAUCAGUAUCCGGCCUGAGAGGGCGGACGGACACACUGGGACUGAGACACGGCCCAGACUCCUACGGGAGGCAGCAGUGGGGAAUUGUUCGCAAUGGGCGCAAGCCUGACGACGCAACGCCGCGUGGAGGAUGAAGAUUUUCGGAUCGUAAACUCCUGUCGAGUGGGAAGAAUAGCUUCCGGGCGAAUAUCCCGGAAGUCUGUACGGUACCA
rnacentral:rRNA from 1 species